rnacentral:misc_RNA from 1 species
UCUCCCGUGAGGGAGCAGUCUCGCCUGACCAUAUAGGCAACAGGCAACGGGGGUUGCGUUCGUUACCCCACUGAAGGGAACAGUUCAAACCACGAACUGACGACGACCAUGCAUCACCUGUCUAGCACCCUCGAAGGCUCCCCUCCUUUCGGAAGGGAUGCAGCUAGAUUUCUAACCUUGGUAAGGUUCUUCGUUUGCUUACGAAUUGAGCCACAUAAUCCACUGCUUGUGCGAGUCCCCGUCUAUUCCUUUGAGUUUUAAUCUUGCGAUCGUACUACCCAGGCGGCUCGCUUACCGCGUUAGCUUAGUCUCACAGAGGGUCGAUACUCCGUAAAACGAGCGAGCAACGUUGAGGGCCAGGACUAC